ncrna:Geobacillus stearothermophilus L31-Firmicutes ribosomal protein leader
CUCUGUUUCGAUGAGAUACAGGGCGGAAGGAG